rnacentral:rRNA from 1 species
AGUGAAAGAGAACCUGAAACCCUAUGUUUACAAGCAGAUAAAGCGAAUUAAGGCGCGAUAUCGUACUUUUUGUAGAACGGUCCAGCGAGUUAUUGUAUAUGGCGAGGUUAAGUUGUAAGUAAGCAACGAAGCCGGAGUGAAAGCGAGUCUGAAGAGGGCGUAAAAGUCAUAUGUAAUAGACCCGAAACCGGGUGACCUAUCCAUGGUCAGGAUGAAGCUAAAGUAAAAUUUAGUGGAGGUCCGAACUGAUUGUCGUUAAAAAGGCACCGGAUGAACUGUGGAUAGCGGAGAAAUUCCAAUCGAACUCGGAGAUAGCUGGUUCUCCUCGAAAUAGCUUUAGGGCUAGCCUUGAGGGAAGAUAUGUGGGGGUAGAGCACUGAAUGAGGUAGGGGCCUAACCAGGUUACUGAACUCUAUCAAACUGCGAAUACCAUGUAUUAAUACUCAGGAGUCAGACUACGGGAGCUAAGUUCCGUGGUCAAAAGGGAAAGAGCCCAGACCGACAAUUAAGGUCCCAAAGAUAUAGUUAAGUGGGAAACGAUGUGAAUUUGCGUAAACAACCAGGAUGUUGGCUCAGAAGCAGCCAUUCAUUCAAAGAGUGCGUAACAGCUCACUGGUCGAGUGAAUUUGCGCGGAAAAUUACCGGGGCUAAACUAUACACCGAAAUUACGGAUUUGUAAAUGAAAAUUUAUAAGUGGUAGAGGAGCAUUCUGUGGUAGGGCGAAGCUAAAGCGAGAGCAUUAGUGGACGAAGCAGAAGAGAGAAUGCUGGAAUAAGUAGCGAGAGCGAGGUGAGAAUCCUUGCCGUCGAAAGUCUAAGGUUUCCUGGGGAAGGUUCGUCCGCCCAGGGUAAGUCGGGACCUAAGGAGAGGCCGAAAGGCGUAUCUGAUGGAUAGCAGGUGGAAAUUCCUGCACUAUAGCCAUACUUAAAAGAUGCAAGGGACGCAGGAGAGGAAGAUAACCGAGGAAGAGGAAAAACUCGGAUCGAAAGAUGGAGUGAAAAUAGAAGUAACGAAGUAUCAAGAAUCACACUGACGAGAAAAGCUUGUAGAGAUUGUAUGGAAAUACCCGUACCGCAAACCGACACAGGUAGAUGAGGAGAGGAUCCUAAGACGAACGGGAGAAGCAUUGUUAAGGAACUCGGCAAAAUAACCCCGUAACUUCGGGAGAAGGGGAGCCUAUGUAAAAGUAGGCCGCAGUGAAAAGGCCCAAGCAACUGUUUAACAAAAACACAGGUUUCUGCUAAAUCGAAAGAUGAAGUAUAGGAGCUGACGCCUGCCCAGUGCUGGAAGGUUAAGGGGAAAUGUUAGGAGCAAUCCGAAGCAUAGAACUGAAGCCCCAGUGAACGGCGGCCGUAACUAUAACGGUCCUAAGGUAGCGAAAUUCCUUGUCAGGUAAGUUCUGACCCGCACGAAAGGCGUAAUGAUUUGGGCACUGUCUCGACAAUGUACCCGGCGAAAUUGUAGUACUAGUGAAGAUGCUAGUUACCUGCGACAAGACAGAAAGACCCCAUGGAGCUUUACUGCAGUUUGAUACUGGGUUUUGAUAAACUAUGUACAGGAUAGGUGGGAGACUAAGAAAGCAAGGCGUCAGCUUUGCUGGAGUCACCGUUGGGAUACCACUCUUAGUUUGUUGAAAUUCUAACUAGUGGUCAUGACCUGGCCAGAGGACAAUGUCAGACGGGCAGUUUGACUGGGGCGGUCGCCUCCAAAAGAGUAACGGAGGCGCCCAAAGGUUUCCUCAGCACGGACGGAAAUCGCGCGAAAGAGUGUAAAGGCAGAAGGAAGCUUAACUGGAAGACAGACAUGUCGAGCAGAUACGAAAGUAGGGCUUAGUGAUCCGGUGGAAUUGAAUGGAAAAGCCAUCGCUCAACGGACAAAAGUUACCCUGGGGAUAACAGGCUUAUCUCCCCCAAGAGUUCACAUCGACGGGGAGGUUUGGCACCUCGAUGUCGGCUCAUCGCAUCCUGGAGCGGAAGUACGUUCCAAGGGUUGGGCUGUUCGCCCAUUAAAGCGGUACGCGAGCUGGGUUCAGAACGUCGUGAGACAGUUCGGUCCUUAUCUGUCGCAGGCGCAAGAUAUUUGAAGGGAGCUGUCCUUAGUACGAGAGGACCAGGAUGGACAUAUAGAGGGUGAAUCAGUUGUUACACCAGUAGCAUAGCUGAGAAGCCAAGUAUGGAAGGGAUAAACGCUGAAAGCAUCUAAGUGUGAAGCCCACCCUAAGAUAAGAUAUCUCAUACCGUCAAGGUAGU